rnacentral:rRNA from 1 species
ACAUGGUUACAACAUAGUGUUAAUGCACCCAAUCCCAUUAUAACUCUGUAGUUAAGCACACUCGAGCUAGAGUAGUACUGGUAUGGGUGACCGCUCAGGAAUUCCUAGUAUUUUACAUGCC